UGAGGGAAUAUUGGGUCAAGUGGACGAGAGUCUGAACCAGCCAAGUAGCGUGAAGGAUUGACUGACCCUAUGGGUUGUAAACUUCUUUUAUAAGGGAAUAAAGUGCACCACGUGUGGUGUUUUGUAUGUACCUUAUGAAUAAGGAUCGGCUAACUCCGUGCCAGCAGCCGCGGUAAUACGGAGGAUCCGAGCGUUAUCCGGAUUUAUUGGGUUUAAAGGGAGCGUAGGCGGCAGGUUAAGUCAGUUGUGAAAGUUUGCGGACUCAACCGUAAAAUUGCAGUUGAUACUGGCCUGCUUGAGUGCGGCAGAGGCAGGCGGAAUUUGCGGUGUAGCGGUGAAAUGCUUAGAUAUCACGAAGAACUCCGAUUGCGAAGGCAGCUUGC
rnacentral:rRNA from 1 species